rnacentral:rRNA from 1 species
AUUGAACGCUGGCGGCAUGCCUUACACAUGCAAGUCGAACGGCAGCACGGGAGCAAUCCUGGUGGCGAGUGGCGAACGGGUGAGUAAAGUAUCGGAACGUGCCCAGUCGUGGGGGAUAACGUAGCGAAAGCUACGCUAAUACCGCAUACGAUCUAUGGAUGAAAGCGGGGGAUCGCAAGACCUCGCGCGAUUGGAGCGGCCGAUAUCAGAUUAGGUAGUUGGUGAGGUAAAGGCUCACCAAGCCGACGAUCUGUAGCUGGUCUGAGAGGACGACCCGCCACACUGGGACUGAGACACGGCCCAGACUCCUACGGGAGGCAGCAGUGGGGAAUUUUGGACAAUGGGCGCAAGCCUGAUCCAGCAAUGCCGCGUGCAGGAUGAAGGCCUUCGGGUUGUAAACUGCUUUUGUACGGAGCGAAAAGGCUUCCACUAAUACUGGGGGCUCAUGACGGUACCGUAAGAAUAAGCACCGGCUAACUACGUGCCAGCCGCCGCGGUAAAAC